AUGUCGUGCCCGACAAAAGAGGAGUCUCUGCACGCUUCUUUUCAUCUUAAGUGCUUUCUCAAGACCAUGGAACACGGAUUUGAUAGAUCUGAAUGUCUUCUAGCCAUUGGUGGUCGUGAUAAGAAGUGAAUGAAAUGAGAUGUAAGGCUCUGUGCUUUUGCUUUGUUCUCUGCUCAAGCUUUUAAGUUGUUUUUAGCAUUGUAAGGUUAAGGACAUGGGAUGCUUGUUCAUUAACACGAGAUACCGCAAAAAGGUUCUUUGUCGGUGGCUUCUAGAUCAGGACUGUUAAAGACGAGAAGACAGACUUCAGUCUUUUAGCAAAUGCUGAUUCCUGAAUCAGUUGCCCAGUGUGUUUUCGGCUUUAUUCUAGUGGAGGAAUCGCAGUGGUGUUGUAUAUGAAAGUAUCGGUGAAGGAAAGUAGCUCAAUCUCAGACACACCGGGCUGGUGACCCUACAUUAUUGUGAGAAAGGAUAUUAGCUCAUCCCUACCUGCGUUCAGUUCCUCCCUCUC
rnacentral:lncRNA from 1 species